AAACGUCAGAAAUUUCGUUCGUUCACCUUGAUCGUUCGUGGCAAUAGAUUUAACCUUGGUUAUAGACAAGUUGGUCAUGGGAUUUUAUUUCUACAUGUGCUAGGAAGUGAAAGAAACUGAAUCAGUAAAUGCGAAAAUGCCGUUUCUCAAUAAGUUUUCUCUUGUUUCUCGGUUGCCCACCUGGGCUGUUCCUGUACGUUGGUCACUUCACGCGUGAAGAUUUGGAUUUUUCUUCAUUUAAACAGGAGGAAACGUAAAAAAGUCGUGCAGCUUAACUGUCAACUAUUUUGUUCAAAAUCAUUGUAUUUUACUGAAUGUGCCAUCAAAAUGAUACAGGAUUCAACAUAAUUAUCUGCUGUGUGUAUUGGACUUGGUAGAUCACCAACCCCAGCAUGGAACAAUCUCUCAUUCCAUCAUCUAGAGAACCUUAUCAUCUGGAUAACUGAUUAGUGUUUUCAUGUAUUCUAAACUGCUGGUUUAUGAAUUUACGUGGCAGACUUUAUGAAAAGUCCUGUCAUUUCAAGAAAGUCAACAAGGUCCGUUGUUUGCUGACCCGUUGGCUCCUACCCUCGAAUUCUCCUUAUUGAUUUCUUUACACAGGCUCUCCUGAUUUGAGGGUAAUCCUUCGCUACUUGUCAUGGACUUCAUCCACUGGU